UGGGGAAUUUUGGACAAUGGGCGAAAGCCUGAUCCAGCAAUGCCGCGUGUGUGAAGAAGGCCUUCGGGUUGUAAAGCACUUUUGUCCGGAAAGAAAUCCUUGGCUCUAAUACAGUCGGGGGAUGACGGUACCGGAAGAAUAAGCACCGGCUAACUACGUGCCAGCAGCCGCGGUAAUACGUAGGGUGCAAGCGUUAAUCGGAAUUACUGGGCGUAAAGCGUGCGCAGGCGGUUUGCUAAGACCGAUGUGAAAUCCCCGGGCUCAACCUGGGAACUGCAUUGGUGACUGGCAGGCUAGAGUAUGGCAGAGGGGGGUAGAAUUCCACGUGUAGCAGUGAAAUGCGUAGAGAUGUGGAGGAAUACCGAUGGCGAAGGCAGCCCCCUGGGCCAAUACUGACGCUCAUGCACGAAAGCGUGGGGGAGCAAACAGGAUUAGAUACCCUGGUAGUCCACGCCCUAAACGAUGUCAACUAGUUGUUGGGGAUUCAUUUCCUUAGUAACGUAGCUAACGCGUGAAGUUGACCGCCUGGGGAGUACGGUCGCAAGAUUAAAACUCAAAGGAAUUG
rnacentral:rRNA from 1 species